GUUGGCUCAGAAGCAGCCAUUCAUUCAAAGAGUGCGUAAUAGCUCACUGGUCGAGUGAAGUUGCGCGGAAAAUUACCGGGGCUAAGCUAUACACCGAAAUUGCGGAUUUACAUUUGAAAGAUAAUGUGAGUGGUAGAGGAGCAUUCUGUAGUAGGAAGAAGCAUGACCGUAAGGACAUGUGGACGAAGCAGAAGAGAGAAUGCUGGAAUAAGUAGCGAGAGGAUGGUGAGAAUCCAUCCCGUCGAAAAUCUAAGGUUUCCCAGGGAAGGUUCGUCCGCCUGGGGUAAGUCGGGACCUAAGGAGAGGCCGAAAGGCGUAUCUGAUGGAUAGCAGGUUGAAAUUCCUGCACUACGAAUAUACUUAAAAGAUUCAAGGGACGCAGAAGUGGAAGAUAACCAAGUAAGAGGAAAAGCUUGGCUCGCAAGAGGGAGUGAAAAUUAAAAGUAACGAAGUAUCAAGAAGCACGCUGACGAGAAAAGCUUGAAGAUAUUGUAUAUAAGUACCCGUACCGCAAACCGACACAGGUAGAUGAGGAGAGGAUCCUAAGACGAGCGGGAGAAGCAUUGUUAAGGAACUCGGCAAAUUAACCCCGUAACUUCGGAAUAAGGGGUGCUGAUGUAACAGUCAGUCGCAGAGAAAAGGCCCAAGCAACUGUUUAACAAAAACAUAGGUUUCUGCUAAAUCGAAAGAUGAAGUAUAGGAGCUGACGCCUGCCCAGUGCUGGAAGGUCAAGGGGAGAUGUUAGAAGAAAUUCGAAGCAUAGAACCAAAGCCCCAGUGAACGGCGGCCGUAACUAUAACGGUCCUAAGGUAGCGAAAUUCCUUGUCAGGUAAGUUCUGACCCGCACGAAAGGCGUAAUGAUUUGGGCACUGUCUCGACAAUGUACCCGGCGAAAUUGUAGUACUAGUGAAGAUGCUAGUUACCUGCGACAAGACAGAAAGACCCCAUGGAGCUUUACUGUAGUUUGAUAUUGGGUUUUGGUAAUUUAUGUACAGGAUAGGUGGGAGACAGAGAAGGAUGUGCGUCAGCAUAUCUGGAGUCAACGUUGGGAUACCACUCUUAAGUUAUUGAAAUUCUAACUUGUGAUCAUAAACUGGUCAGAGGACAAUGUCAGACGGGCAGUUUGACUGGGGCGGUCGCCUCCAAAAGAGUAACGGAGGCGCCCAAAGGUUCCCUCAGUGCGGACAGAAAUCGCACAAAAGAGUGUAAAGGCAGAAGGGAGCUUAACUGGAAGAUAGACAUAUCGAGCAGAUACGAAAGUAGGGCUUAGUGAUCCGGUGGAAUUGAAUGGAAAAGCCAUCGCUCAACGGACAAAAGUUACCCUGGGGAUAACAGGCUUAUCUCCCCCAAGAGUUCACAUCGACGGGGAGGUU
rnacentral:rRNA from 1 species